rnacentral:rRNA from 1 species
UGGGGAAUAUUGGACAAUGGGCGAAAGCCUGAUCCAGCAAUGCCGCGUGAGUGAUGAAGGCCUUAGGGUUGUAAAGCUCUUUUACCCGGGAUGAUAAUGACAGUACCGGGAGAAUAAGCCCCGGCUAACUCCGUGCCAGCAGCCGCGGUAAUACGGAGGGGGCUAGCGUUGUUCGGAAUUACUGGGCGUAAAGCGCACGUAGGCGGCUUUGUAAGUUAGAGGUGAAAGCCCGGGGCUCAACUCCGGAAUUGCCUUUAAGACUGCAUCGCUAGAAUUGUGGAGAGGUGAGUGGAAUUCCGAGUGUAGAGGUGAAAUUCGUAGAUAUUCGGAAGAACACCAGUGGCGAAGGCGACUCACUGGACACAUAUUGACGCUGAGGUGCGAAAGCGUGGGGAGCAAACA